AUUGAACGCUGGCGGCAGGCCUAACACAUGCAAGUCGAACGAGUGGCGGACGGGUGAGUAAUGUCUGGGAAACUGCCUGAUGGAGGGGGAUAACUACUGGAAACGGUAGCUAAUACCGCAUACCAUCGGAUGUGCCCAGAUGGGUUUAGCUUGUGGGUGGGGUAAAGGCUCACCAAGGCGCCGAACACUAGCUGGUCUGAGAGGAUGACCAGCCACACUGGAACUGAGACACGGUCCAGACUCCUACGGGAGGAAGCAGUGGGGAAUAUUGCACAAGGGGCGAAAGCCUGAUGCAGCCAUGCCGGGGGUAGGAAGAAGGCCUUCGGGUUGUAAAGUACUUUAAGCGGGGAGGCGUUACCCGCAGAAGAAGCACCGGCUAACUCCGUGCCAGCAGCCGCGGUAAUUC
rnacentral:rRNA from 1 species